rnacentral:lncRNA from 1 species
GAAAGGUUCUCAGGGGGUAGGGCGGGGACCUAGGCCUUCGCCUCGGCGGCAGAGGAGACUCGGGGGCCAUUUUGUGGAGAGACGAACACUGAACGGUUGUGUCCGUGUUGUCGCCCUCGAGCAACAGCUUCUCUGCGUAGAACCUGGGAGUUGGAGAUUCAGGAUCGAAUCUCUGCUCCCUCCCCCCUCCUGGUCACAAAUCGUUCGAAAUUCUUAAGUUAGUGGAACUGUGCUUGAGGUAGGUAUUCACCGUCCUUCGCAGUCGGAAACGUGCGGUCUAGGAGUGUUGGCUGCCAGAAUCACAUUAAGUCAACAGCGGAACUUGUAACGAAUUUGACCAGUCGGUCGGGCACGUAGUUCUAGGUAGUUAUUCCAGUGCUAGGUACUAAACAGACUGCUUAAAGUGUGUAGGAGAACCCAGUUGGAGAAACCUCGAGGGAACUGGACUUGGGACAAUAUUUAUUGAACGCCUUAGGAAGAUAGUCUAUACUGGACUUGGGAAAAGUACUUAAUUACAAGACUUGAACUUAUUAUUAAUGUGAUUUGUAAGACGACAAAAUUUGAAAUUAAUCCCAUCCAUCUAAACCUUUGCAGAAAUGCAGUUAUAUUUUAAAUUGGGACUGGAGGGGUAGCACAGUGGUAGAGCCCAGGCUUAGCAUGCAGGAGGCUACCUUGGGUCCAAUUCCUAGCCAGAAAAUAAUUUUAAAAAUUAGGUAAGCCUUUAUCUUUAAGUAAUUAAUAUUCACGUAUCUGGGAAAUUACCUUCUCGUUUUUUUUUUUAACCUGUGCAUAAGGUUGGUUGAAUUUAUUUUUAAAAAAGCUACUAAUAGAGUUUAAACCAAUUGUGUUCAAAAUUUAUUCCUUAAACUUUAAGAAAUUAAGAUAGAGAUCAAAAUUGUUAACGCUUUUUUUGAUGUUGGGGAUCAAGGUCAGGGCACUAUGCCUGCUGGGAACGUGAUCUGCAGUUGAGUCAUAUCCCUAAACCCAUGCUUGGUUUAGCGGUGCAGGGGACCUGUCUUACUGCCCCAUACAUGAUAGGUAGGUGCUCCACCACUGAAGUACACUCACAGCAAACCAUUUAAAUUUAAACUGUAAUCAUCUAUAUUGCACUUGGGCUUAAAACCAGUUUAUUGCUCUGACGAAUGAUCAGGGCUGAGGUAAGGCCUACCUGAUUAAUUAGAAAAUUGUCUGUUGAAAAACAUUGUUGUAAAUAAUGU